ACUUUAAUAGCUUAUAUAUAAAGCUUAAUAUUGAAGGUAUUAAAAAAGUAAUUUUUUUUACUUUAAAG
rnacentral:tRNA from 1 species